rnacentral:rRNA from 1 species
GGUUAAGCGACUAAGCGUACACGGUGGAUGCCCUGGCAGUCAGAGGCGAUGAAGGGCGUGCUAAUCUGCGAUAAGCGCCGGUAAGGUGAUAUGAACCGUUAUAACCGGCGAUACCCGAAUGGGGAAACCCAGUGUGACUCGUCACACUAUCAUUAACUGAAUCCAUAGGUUAAUGAGGCGAACCGGGGGAACUGAAACAUCUAAGUACCCCGAGGAAAAGAAAUCAACCGAGAUUCCCCCAGUAGCGGCGAGCGAACGGGGAGGAGCCCAGAGCCUGAAUCAGCAUGUGUGUUAGUGGAAGCGUCUGGAAAGGCGCGCGAUACAGGGUGACAGCCCCGUACACAAAAGCGUAUGUGCUGUGAGCUCGAUGAGUAGGGCGGGACACGUGGUAUCCUGUCUGAAUAUGGGGGGACCAUCCUCCAAGGCUAAAUACUCCUGACUGACCGAUAGUGAACCAGUACCGUGAGGGAAAGGCGAAAAGAACCCCGGCGAGGGGAGUGAAAAAGAACCUGAAACCGUGUACGUACAAGCAGUGGGAGCACCCUUUGGGGUGUGACUGCGUACCUUUUGUAUAAUGGGUCAGCGACUUAUAUUCUGUAGCAAGGUUAACCGAAUAGGGGAGCCGGAGGGAAACCGAGUCUUAAUUGGGCGUUAAGUUGCAGGGUAUAGACCCGAAACCCGGUGAUCUAGCCAUGGGCAGGUUGAAGGUUGGGUAACACUAACUGGAGGACCGAACCGACUAAUGUUGAAAAAUUAGCGGAUGACCUGUGGCUGGGGGUGAAAGGCCAAUCAAACCGGGAGAUAGCUGGUUCUCCCCGAAAGCUAUUUAGGUAGCGCCUCGUGAAUUCAUCUCCGGGGGUAGAGCACUGUUUCGGCUAGGGGGUCAUCCCGACUUACCAACCCGAUGCAAACUGCGAAUACCGGAGAAUGUUAUCACGGGAGACACACGGCGGGUGCUAACGUCCGUCGUGAAGAGGGAAACAACCCAGACCGCCAGCUAAGGUCCCAAAGUCAUGGUUAAGUGGGAAACGAUGUGGGAAGGCACAGACAGCCAGGAUGUUGGCUUAGAAGCAGCCAUCAUUUAAAGAAAGCGUAAUAGCUCACUGGUCGAGUCGGCCUGCGCGGAAGAUGUAACGGGGCUAAACCAUGCACCGAAGCUGCGGCAGCGACACUCAGGUGU